rnacentral:ncRNA from 1 species
GUUCGGUUGGAGCAAACUUCGCGAAAGCGUAGGACGCUAAAGUCAUGGGUCUAAGGCCCGCCUGAGAGAAUAUUACUAUACUCUUCAGACAGGUUAUGAUCGCCAGACUACAAGC